rnacentral:rRNA from 1 species
AUUGAACGCUGGCGGCAGGCCUAACACAUGCAAGUCGAGCGAGAGGCGGACGGGUGAGUGAUGUAUGUGGAUCUGCCCGAUCGAGGGGGAUAACUACUGGAAACGGUGGCUAAUACCGCAUACUAUCGGAUGAACCCAUAUGGGAGUAGCUAGUAGGUGGGGUAAAGGCUCACCUGGGCGACGAUCCCUAGCUGGUCUGAGAGGAAGAUCAGCCACACUGAGACUGAGACACGGCCCAGACUCCUACGGGAGGCAGCAGUGGGGAAUCUUGGGCAAUGGACGAAAGCCUGACGAAGCAAUGCCGCGUGUUUGAAGAAGGCCUUCGGGUUGUAAAGUACUGUUAGCGGGGAAGCGUUACCCAACGAGGAAGCAACGGCUAACUACGUGCCAGCAGCCGCGGUAAUUC